UACGUAGGGUGCAAGCGUUGUCCGGAAUUACUGGGCGUAAAGGGCCAGUAGGCGGCCAACUAAGUCCGACGUGAAAUCCCCAGGCUUAACCUGGGAACUGCGUCGGAUACUGGAUGGCUUGAAUUCGGGAGAGGGAUGCAGAAUUCCAGGUGUAGCGGUGAAAUGCGUAGAUAUCUGGAGGAAUACCGGUGGCGAAGGCGGCAUCCUGGACCGAGAUUGACGCUGAACGGCGAAAGCUAGGGGAGCAAACGGG
rnacentral:rRNA from 1 species